rnacentral:rRNA from 1 species
UACGUAGGGUGCAAGCGUUGUCCGGAAUUAUUGGGCGUAAAGAGCUCGUAGGCGGUUUGUCGCGUCGAAUGUGAAAACCCGGGGCUCAACCCCGGGCCUGCAUUCGAUACGGGCAGACUAGAGGUAGGUAGGGGAGAAUGGAAUUCCCGGUGUAGCGGUGAAAUGCGCAGAUAUCGGGAGGAACACCGGUGGCGAAGGCGGUUCUCUGGGCCUUACCUGACACUGAGGAGCGAAAGCGUGGGGAGCGAACAGG